GUACAGUACAGUACAGUACAGUACAGUACAGUACAGUACAGUACAGUACAGUACAGUACACGUGCAGUACUGUACUGUACACGUGCAGUACUGUACUGUACUGUACUGUACUGUACUGUACUGUACUGUA